AUCGUUUGACCGAUGGGGGGACACAGGAGGAUAAGUGAACCGUGCGACUGGUCGUGCACGGCUAAGGACGGUAGCGGAGCGACAGGCAAAUCCGGAACACGAUACGCGAAGGUCUGAUGGGGAGCGAAAAUAAGUAGCGAAGUCACUGAUUCCAUACUGUCAAGAAAAGCCUCUAGGGAGACGAAACGUGCCCGUACCGCAAACCGACACAGGUAGGCGAGGAGAGAAUCCUCAGGCGCGCGAGCAAACCCUCGUUAAGGAACUCGGCAAAAUGACCCCGUAACUUCGGGAGAAGGGGUACUCCGGGCAACCGGAGUCGCAGUGAAGAGGCCCAGGCGACUGUUUAGCAAAAACACAGGUCCCUGCCAAACCGAAAGGUGACGUAUAGGGGCUGACGCCUGCCCGGUGCUGGAAGGUUAAGGGGAGGAGUGAGAGCUCUGAACCGAAGCCCCAGUAAACGGCGGCCGUAACUAUAACGGUCCUAAGGUAGCGAAAUUCCUUGUCGGGUAAGUUCCGACCCGCACGAAAGGCGUAACGAUCUGGGCACUGUCUCAACGAGGGACUCGGUGAAAUUGAUAUACCCGUGAAGAAGCGGGUUACUUGCGAUAGGACAGAAAGACCCCGUAGAGCUUUACUGUAGCCUGACAUUGGAUUUUGGUGUGUUUUGUACAGGAUAGGUGGGAGACGUGGAACCCAGGCCGCCAGGUUUGGGGGAGUCGAUGGUGGGAUACCACUCUGAAUGCACUGAAGUUCUAACUUGGCACCCUGAAUCGGGUGUAAGGACCGUGUCAGGUGGGC
rnacentral:rRNA from 1 species